CACGCGGGCGCUGGUUCUUCUGGAAGCUGCUCAGCGGUACGUGACCCGCGUUUCCGCUCACAGCUUUCACAAAGGCCUGGCGGAGGAAGCGAACGCUCUGUGUUUUCGACGAAAGAGAUGAACUGAAUUCCAAACGCCUCUCACCGAGGACAGGCCUCAGGAGAGCGAAGGCAAGAAAGAAACGUGGCGAAUCUAGGGAUUCCAUUGCCAUUUCAUUGAUGGUCGUCUUGUGGCCGGAGGGCUUCUGGCGAAGUACUGACGCCUACUUUAAAGAAAUCCGGAUUCAACACCAAGGGAGAGGUGGCAGAAGACAGAGGAGGCCACACAGGAGGCGGGGAGAACAGGUUUGGCUGUAAAGAGCCAAACUUCAGCGUCGCAUGUUUGUCUCUCUCGUGUAGGUCCGAAUUCGUCCUCGGAUGAUGCAACAACGCGGCCUCGUUUUCAGCGCAGAGAAACGUCCGCUUUCAACGUGCAAUCUUUGAGAGGGUGUGAAGAGGACUCUCAAACGUCUCACAGACGCCGGCUGACAAACGGGGGUUCUGGCGGCAGAGGCUGGGGUGACCCACGCACCACGCCGACGACGUGAGCUUUCGGAGUCCCAGCGCGGGACACAGACACGCGCAAGUUGCUCGCUCCCCUCAAGCGACGCCUGCAGACGCCGCCUGGAAUACACCUGUUCGUUAGCAGCUUGGUGGAAACAGACUACAGCACGAGCAGUGUUGGGAACUGCCAGUUAUGCAACCGGCCCACCGGCAGGAAAGAUGCUGCUUCUAACAACAAACAUCCUGUCCCGACGCAGCCCAGGACUAACUUUUCCAUGGACCCAGACAUUUUACACCCAGAAAAAGGGAACAUUCACAGUUGCAGAACUGUGAGUACUUGCAGUUAAAUAAAGGUAACACUGCCCAA